UACGGAGGGUGCAAGCGUUAUCCGGAUUCACUGGGUUUAAAGGGUGCGUAGGCGGAUUAGAAAGUCCGUUGUGAAAUCUCUGAGCUUAACUCGGAAAUUGCGGUGGAUACUAUUAGUCUUGAAUACUGUGGAGGUUAGCGGAAUAUGUCAUGUAGCGGUGAAGUGCAUAGAUAUGACAUAGAACACCUAUUGCGAAGGCAGCUAACUACGGAAAUAUUGACGCUGAGGCACGAAAGCGUGGGGAUCAAACAGG
rnacentral:rRNA from 1 species